rnacentral:rRNA from 1 species
UACGUAGGGCGCAAGCGUUGUCCGGAAUUAUUGGGCGUAAAGAGUUCGUAGGCGGUCUGUCGCGUCCGUUGUGAAAGCCCAGGGCUCAACCCUGGGUCUGCAGUGGAUACGGGCAGACUAGAGUCAGGUAGGGGAGAACGGAAUUCCUGGUGUAGCGGUGAAAUGCGCAGAUAUCUGGAGGAACACCGGUGGCGAAGGCGGGUCUCUGGGCCGAUAUUGACGCUGAGGAGCGAAAGCGUGGGGAGCGAACAGG